rnacentral:pre_miRNA from 14 species
AUCUCUGGCUUUCAUAAUCUUUGUACGCCCUCAUGUGAAAGACCCCCGAAGGGAGCCCCCCACUCAAGUCUCGGGAAAGACGCGCACCCAGUAGGACACAGACACCG